UGUUUGAUGUGUGGCCGAAAAAACAGCGGUUUUCUGGACAUUUUAAAAAGUAAAAAAAACAGGCAAAAAAGAGGGGGGGAAACAGAAGUGAGGACUAUCCAAGCACAACGCGAAUAGGCAAAAUGUGGAUUAUCCAGGUUUUCCUGCACCACUUCAUCAUCGCCAGCCAAGGGUGGGAUGGGAUCUCUUGUCCAGGGUAUGCCACACUGAAGGAGGGGUACAGGAGCUAAUAGCUCCCAACAGAAAUUCAUUCAGCCAUGUCUCUCAGCAUUCACCUGGUAGCCACUAGCAACAAUUAAUUCCAUGCAGGUGCACUGGCAAGUUUUCAGACGACACCACAACAUGCCAGCCUUUCCACAAAGGCCUGGCAAGUGUUUGUUUUAGAGGACAUUCCGAAAGAAGAAAAGCCGGCUAAGAGCAUAGGAAGUGACGCUAUACCAAGGUGCAAACCGUAAGGAAACUGUGACAGCGUAUAACCACCCCAUACCAUCAAGAGAACAAAUCAUCAUGAAUGCAGAACAAAAAGGACAUCUGGAGGGGCCUGAGAAAACCAAAUAGCUGAAUAAAGCUUGGAAAUGACUUAAAAUGGGUUAACUUGACAUCAAUCUGUACAAAUUUAGACAAAAAAUUGUCAACAAAUAUGGAAAAGAAAACAAUGGCCCAGACUGGAAGUGUUCAAUGUACAUCCCAAUUCCAAAGAAAGGGGAUCCCAGGGAAUGCAGUAAUUAUCGAACUAUUCCUUUAAUAUUCCAUGCAGGUAAAGUAAUGCUCAAAAUCCAACAACAAAGGCUCUUACCAUAUAUGGAGCGAGAAAUGCGAGAUGCCCAAGCUGGAUUUAGAAACGGAAGAGGCACCAGAGAUCAUAUCGCAAACAUACAUUGGAUAAUGGAAUGGACCAAGGAAUUUCAAAAGGAAAUCACCCUGUGCUUUACAGCAAAGCCUUGGACUAUGUAGGUCAUGAAAAACGAUGGAAUGCUUUAAAAGAAAUGGGGAUGCCACAGCAUCUGAUUGUCCUGAUGCGCAACCUAUACUCUGCACAAGAGGCUACUGUAAGGACAGAAUGUGGAAAAACUGACUGGUUUCCCAUCGGAAAGGGUGUGAUACAGGGGUGUAUUUUAUCACCCAAUUUGUUUAAUCUAUAUGCAGAACAUAUCAUAUGGAAAGCGGAAAUGGACCAAGAUGGUUUGAAAGUUGGAGGGAGAAAUAUUUUAAGAUAUGCAGACAAUACCAUACUCUUAGCAGAUACCAUACUCUUAGCAGAAACAGAAAUCAGUAAUGAUUUGAAAUGAAUGCUGAUGAAAGUUAAAGAGGAAAGCACAGAAGCAGGACUACAGCUGAAUGUCAAGAAGACUAAAGUAAUGACUUCCGGGAAGGGUGACUUCGCUUGUGCCUGCUUUUGGGACGGGCUCCCGCCUCAAAAGAAGCUUAUUCAGAUAUAAAUCAGUCAGAACAUUUUUUUUUUUGGACUGAUGAAAUUUCUCCCGGGCAGGCAGAAACGUACAGAUCAACCUCAAAGCCUGUUUUUGUUGGGAGGACUGGAUUUCAUUAAUUUAUGAGAUAAGGUCCAGCCAACAAUGCCGGACGGACUUCCUAACAAGCUCUAUCUGCUUAAGCGAUACGUUUAUCUUUUCUUUAAAGAGAGAACGGACUAACAGGCAAGCACCCUUCUUUCUAUUAUUUUUUUUACUUGGUUUAAAUUGUUGCAGCAAAAGGAGAUUUGUCAGAUUGAUCGGCUUUGGACAACUUCUGGGUGAGAUAUAGCUCUUCUCUGUUAUUCACGAAAUUAACAGCUUAUCUCUGUUUCUGUCGCAAAAAGCUGUCCUGGAAGUGCAUUCUAAAGAUAAUAAACAGAAGAGGGAUUUCUAUUCCUGAUUUCUAUUCCGAGGAAUAUUAUAUUGUCUGGGACUAUUCUCUUUUUGGUCUAUUUUAUUUUGACGAAUCUGCUUCUUCACGACGCCACUAACUGUUUUGAUGCUGGGAACUAAAUUUGUUUUGCAUUCUUGAACAUAGAGAGAUAAGGCAGGUUGCUCUGUUUAUACUGUGAUGUCAUCAAGCCCGGAAUAUUAACCCAAUUGUUGCUGAAAUAAGAAGUGGUUCUUCUUUAUUUUUGUUUUGCUUUGUUUUUGUGGUUUUAAAAAUGGCAAUCAAGAAAGUGGCUGAGAAUCUGGAAGUAAUUAUGUUUCAGAAAAUAAUGGAUGAGAUUGAGAUAACGAAACAAACCCUGCGACAGGGUAGUAAGGAGCUGAAAAUUGAACUGAGCAAAAUGACGCAGGAGCUUAAAGAAAUAGGGGAUCCUGUGAGAGAGGAGAAUGAGAUCAGAGAUGAGAAAAGAAAAAAUAAAGGGAAGAUACAAGCCCUGGAGAUUGGAACA